GACGUAGGGUGCGAGCGUUGUCCGGAUUUAUUGGGCGUAAAGAGCUCGUAGGCGGUUUGUCGCGUCUGCUGUGAAAACCCGAGGCUCAACCUCGGGCCUGCAGUGGGUACGGGCAGACUAGAGUGCGGUAGGGGAGAUUGGAAUUCCUGGUGUAGCGGUGGAAUGCGCAGAUAUCAGGAGGAACACCAAUGGCGAAGGCAGAUCUCUGGGCCGUAACUGACGCUGAGGAGCGAAAGCAUGGGGAGCGAACGGG
rnacentral:rRNA from 1 species